rnacentral:precursor_RNA from 15 species
GGUGGUUUUUUUGACAACUGGGUGCCGCAGGGCUCGUCAUGGGGUAGCUAGCGUGUGAUUAACAGCCAGCUGCCUUUUGAAGGGCUAUAUGGCAUUGGUUUUUUACUUCAAGUGUGUU